CCUUUGCUGGUACCUACACAUGUAAAGCGUCUAAUGAACUCGGUCAGGCAGCGUGCAGCGUAACCCUCAGAAUGACCUAUGGAGGAACUGCAUGUGAUUGGCGGAGUGUUGAUGGGAAUCUUUCUCGUUCUGCUGUUUGAUUGGGGUAAUGGUCAUCUUAGUCACCUGGAGCAGGAAGAAGCAUGUCCAGAAAACAUAUGCACAUGAGCAUAGUCAGGUGAAAAACAAUUCAGCACUUCAACAGCAGAGCGGAGGGAACCUACUACCCAUUCAGUCGGGUACUGAAGACCAAUCGGACUUCAAAGUGUCUCACUUUAGUCCAGUUGUUUAGCCUCCUCAGAUGCUUCUUUUGCAUCUGUCUCUGCUGGUUUAAUCUCUGAGCCUACAA